CCUACGGGGGGCAGCAGUAGGGAAUUUUCGUCAAUGGGCGCAAGCCUGAACGAGCAAUGCCGCGUGAACGAGGAAGGUCUUCGGAUCGUAAAGUUCUGUUGAAGGGGAAAAAGAGCGGAGAGAGGAAAUGGUCUCCGAUUGAUAUUACCCUUCGAGGAAGUCACGGCUAACUACGUGCCAGCAGCCGCGGUAAUACGUAGGUGGCGAGCGUUAUCCGGAAUGAUUGGGCGUAAAGGGUGCGUAGGCGGGACGGCAAGUCAGAUGUGAAAACUGAGGGCUCAACCUUCAGACUGCAUUUGAAACUG
rnacentral:rRNA from 1 species